AACGAACGCUGGCGGCAUGCCUAACACAUGCAAGUCGAACGAGACCUUCGGGUCUAGUGGCGCACGGGUGCGUAACGCGUGGGAACCUGCCCUUAGGUUCGGAAUAACUCCCCGAAAGGGGUGCUAAUACCGGUUAAUGUCUUCGGACCAAAGAUUUAUCGCCUUUGGAUGGGCCCGCGUUGGAUUAGCUAGUUGGUAGGGUAAAAGCCUACCAAGGCGACGAUCCAUAGCUGGUCUGAGAGGAUGAUCAGCCACACUGGGACUGAGACACGGCCCAGACUCCUACGGGAGGCAGCAGUGGGGGAUAUUGGACAAUGGGCGAAAGCCUGAUCCAGCAAUGCCGCGUGAGUGAUGAAGGCCUUAGGGUUGUAAAGCUCUUUUACCCGGGAUGAUAAUGACAGUACCGGGAGAAUAAGCUCCGGCUAACUCCGUG
rnacentral:rRNA from 1 species